GCCGAGAUAGUUCAGUGGCAGAACAGUCGCUUCGUAAGCGAUAGACGUGGGUUCGAUUCCCGCCCUCGGCUCCA
rnacentral:tRNA from 1 species